rnacentral:rRNA from 1 species
CCUACGGGAGGCUGCAGUAGGGAAUCUUCCACAAUGGGCGCGAGCCUGAUGGAGCAACACCGCGUGAGUGAAGAAGGGUUUCGGCUCGUAAAGCUCUGUUGUUGGAGAAGAACGUGUGUGAGAGUAACUGUUCACGCCGUGACGGUAUCCAACCAGAAAGGCACGGCGAACUACGUGCCAGCCGCCGCGGUAAUACGUAGGUGGGUAGCGUUAUCCGGGUUUAUUUGGCGUAAAGGGAGCGCAGGCGGUUGCUUAGGUCUGAUGUGAAAGCCUUCGGCUUAACCGAAGAAGUGCAUUGGAAACUGGGCGACUUGAGUGCAGAAGAGGAAGGUGGAAGUCGAGGUGUAGCGGUGGAAUGCGUAGAUAUCAGGAAGAACACCAGUUGCGAAGGCGGCCGUCUGGUCUGCAACUGACGCUGAGGCUCGAAAGUAUGGGUAGCGAACAGGAUUAGAUACCCCAGUAGUC